CACCAGUACUCGUUACAUUUUUAAUGCUUAACAGGACAGGAAAAUAUACAAGUCACACAGUUAUCAAGAGAACCCCCACUGGUCAUCCAUACUGCCUCUGAGCUGACGGACUCACUAAACACACAAUUUGUAAAUUAUGUCCGAGUGUUGGAGUGUGCUCCUGGUGAGCCAUGAAUAACAAAAUGGCACCGUCUGGUUUGCUUAAAGGAAUUAAAAGUUACUUAUACUUUUGAUAAGUAUCGUGAUCGCAUUGCAACACUGACAUAUCUUCUUGGAGUUCUAUAAUGUAACACAGUAAUAAGAAGCCCAGAAAACAUUUUUAUUUCACAGAAGCAAGGUGUAAAAGGAAUAUAAAAUGUGAGGUAUUUCAGUAUUCUGUGAAAUGCUACAGACCCACACAUUGGAUUAAUUAAACAUGUCACUAAAUACAAUAGAAAGUGUGUUGGAACAAAAGCAGUCUAAUAGACAUUGUUAAACUAACGUUGAAAAAAUAUAUAUAAUAAUUUCAAAACUAACAGGUAAAAACUGAAGCCUUCAAACAGCAAAACCCAUCUUCAACAAACAUGAAACUACUGAAAGAAAGUCACGUUUGCAUUGUCAUUAAAGUUCAGGCAUAUAAACGAUAUCAAUGUUACCAGUUGAUGCGUCCCAUUCAGCCAAAUAUGAUCUCAAAACCACCAGUACAUAAAAAUUUGACCUUUACAUAAAAGUAAAACAUUUGGCAGUGAUCAUAAAAUAGUAGAGCCACACAAACAAACCUGUAAACAGCUACAGAGCAGCUCUACUUGGCUGGUAACCUCACAAGAGAAGAGUGAGAUAAAGUUAAGUCUACGAAAAUAAAUGACAACCAAGUAAAAACAUACUUCAAGAAGCAUGAAACUUAAGCAUGAAUAUAAAUGUGUAUGUCAUUUAUCAUAUAAAUGUGAUUGUAACAAAUAAAUAAAAUCAUCCUCUCAAUCAAAACAUCCUAUAACUUGAAAUGAGUUAUUCUGCUUGCCUCGUCAUAAAUAACAUGGAAGAAAAGGGGGAGCUUUGCUUCCGAUGCCGUUCCCGCCAUUCAUAGGGACAAUGGAAUUCCUGAAUGAUGCCGUGGUGUGGGACAAUUAAUGUUUGAACAGCUCUACAGAAGGGGGACCUCAGGGGUAGUUGGGGGGAGGGGGGGGCAUGGGAAGUAAAAAAAAAUAUAUAUUUUUUAAAGUUAGUGCAACAGGAGGCCCUGUAUCACUUAUUGACUGACUGCUGACCCAUCCCCCGUUGUUCUGAAUUCCAAGAGGACAAUUCUGAAUUGCAAGCAGGCCAGAGAGAGCCUGGUGCGUCAGUGUCAUAUCAUGGUGGUGUAAUGGCUGACUGUUGGUCAUUGCAGUGGAGCCAAGUGUUUGUCAGUCUUCAGAAGGAGGAGUGUAAGUCGGAGUCCUCCCCUUGGUCUUGGUCUUCUGGUUGUCUUCCAGCAUGAGGAACCUCUUGAGGUGGGACAAGGCAGACUUCUUCACACUGGCGGGCUUGGAGGCCAAGGAGGAACUGGUGGUCUCAGAGGAUAUCGACCUGGAAAUAGUAAUGUCAGAAUCUACACACUGACACAGAUUAAAGGUGACCUAUUGAAAAGUGUAGGACCACACAGUGUCCAUCAGUUUAUUGAUAUCAUCCAUUGCCCUCACUUCUCAAGAAGUCCCUUAAAGGCUGCUUUUCACCUAGCUGAGAUGUAGACUAUAUAAAUAAAAUAGAUGACAAUGUAGGUACCAGAGGCCUGCUAUUGUUUGUUUACCUUGGCAUACUGCAGGGUGUCUUGUCAUUGGGGGCAGACUUUGGCAUGCCUAUGGCAUUGGUUCUGUUGGUGGACUGGGGACUGUUGCGUUUUCCUGUGCUCCCGUGGUUCUUGGAGAGAGCGGCCAUGAAGUCCCUGUUGACAGCGUUGUGCCUGGACGUGUUGUUAUAGGUGUGGCAGGUAGUCAUACUGCUGCGGAGGGUCUAGACUAGUCUAACAGAUGGCGGAGUAGUUUCUCUGAACCAGUUGACAGAAGUUCUCAAAGUAAAGUUUCGCUGAACCAGUGUAUUAAACAAGCAGGAGCUUCUCUCUAGC
rnacentral:lncRNA from 1 species